rnacentral:siRNA from 1 species
UGGCAAUAUUAUGUUUCCCGCCAA